rfam:Gossypium arboreum cultivar AKA8401 contig_76690_1, whole genome shotgun sequence.
GGGUGCGAUCAUACCAGCACUAAUGCACCGGAUCCCAUCAGAACUCCGCAAUUAAGCGUGCUUGGGCGAGAGUAGUACUAGGAUGGGUGACCUCCUGGGAAGUCCUCGUGUUGCACCCC